UGAGGAACAUGACCUUCGGCGGGGGAUAGCCGGCCCAACGGCCGGGUAAUACCGCGUACGACCACAUGGGGACAUCCCUGAGUGGUGAAAACAGCAAUGCGCCGAUGGAGUGCCUCGCGGCCUAUCAGCUAGUUGGUGAGGUACGGCUCACCAAGGCGACGACGGGUAGCUGGUCUGAGAGGAUGGCCAGCCACAUUGGGACUGAGACACGGCCCAGACUCCGUAGGACG
rnacentral:rRNA from 1 species